AGGUUGAGUGAAGGAGAAUGUGCUGUGAACAUCUCUGUACGAAGAAGCCAAGGAGCAGUUGUGUGUGACACCAAACCUCGAUCUCCAUGUGGACCUCAUGGUGUGUGUGGGCCCGCUAGGCGGAUUGUGAUACCCUCUAGCACCGGAGUAACAAAGUGUGGCCCAGCCAGAGAUGUGUGUGUUGAUGCUGUACCUCCUUACAGGGAUGCAGGGAAUUGCAUUCCCUGUGUCAAACCUUGUCCACCUUAUGUAGAUGCCUGCCCCCCUCCACGGGGCUUUAGUUGUGGGAGUAAGAGGGGCUCCCAUAUCAAAUCUGUAGAAACUGCUGCUGGUCACUGUGGUCGAAACUACUAAGACUAUUAAAAGGAAGGGCUCCUCUAUUAGCUAAUGGCAAUGGAACUUGCAGUUUGCAAAACCAGCCCUUUAGUUAUUUGCACAGAUACCUUGUUGCCAAACUAUGGUCUCUUUUUAAAAAUUAAAUUGAUGGGCUGCACCAUAUAUUUCCUAUAAAUUCCAGUUUUGAUUGGUGAUUGUUACUGUAUAAAUGUAUGACUCCUGUUGUUGGACUUUGUAGUAAAUUGGCUUCGCUUCAUUGAUUUCACCUACAGCAAUUGUGGAAACUGGAAAAAACUUGUAAUAUCCACCUCCUAUGUGUUAUUUGUUAAUGUCUCAAUUAACCCAUCAACAAGACUGCAUCAAUUCAGGGCUGAAUCACUACAUAUUUAUAUAGCAAGAUAAAAACACAAUGUCCUGAUUUCAUCAAAGAGCUUGUCCUAAUACUUGUGAAUGUCAUAUAUAUCUAAUUUUCUCUGAUCCUAAAGUGGCAUUAAUAGGAACAUAGGUUUCAUAAGGUAACUUAAAAGUGUCAUUCUACCUCCAAGUGAUUGGUGAUAUGGUAACAUCUUCUGUAUAAAAGGUUCCUGCUUGUACUUUGUUUUCUGUCCUUUUUUGGAAUUCUCUGUUUCUAAUAAACUGGCAGAACUGCAAAAA